rnacentral:Y_RNA from 1 species
GGUUGGUCUGAAGGUGUAGUGAGUUAUCUUGAUGGUUCAGUCAGUUACUUAUCAAACUCCUCAUUCUACUCUUUGCUCCCUUCUCACCACUGCACUUGACUAGUCUUUG